GAUAAGAACGUAGCGAAAUGCGAUACGUAAUGUGAAUUGCAGAAUUCAGUGAAUCAUCGAAUCUUUGAACGCAUAUUGCGCUCUCUGGUAUUCCGGAGAGCAUGCUUGUUUGAGUAUCAGUAAACACCUCAACUCCCUUUUCUUUUUUGAAAUGGGAGCUGGACUUGAGUGAUCCCAACACUUUUCUCACUGGAAAGUGGCGGGUCACUUGAAAUGCAGGUGCAGCUGGACUUUUCUCUGAGCUAUAAGCAUAUCUAUUUAGUCUGCCUAAAAAACAGAUUAUUACCUUUGCUGCAGCUAACAUAAAGGAGAUGAGUUCUUGUGCUGACUGAUGCAGGAUUCACAGAGACAGCUUUGCGGCUGACUUUGUAAACUCGAUCUCAAAUCAAGUAAGACUACCCGCUGAACUUAAGCAUAUCAAUAAGCGGAGGA
rnacentral:misc_RNA from 1 species